rnacentral:rRNA from 1 species
ACUCCUACGGGAGGCAGCAGUGGGGAAUCUUGGACAAUGGGGGCAACCCUGAUCCAGCCAUGCCGCGUGAGUGAUGAAGGCCUUAGGGUCGUAAAAGCUCUUUCGCCUGUGAUGAUAAUGACAGUAGCAGGUAAAGAAACCCCGGCUAACUCCGUGCCAGCAGCCGCGGUAAUACGGAGGGGGUUAGCGUUGUUCGGAAUUACUGGGGCGUAAAGCGCGCGUAGGCGGAUUAGUCAGUUAGAGGUGAAAUCCCAGGGGCUCAACCCUGGAACUGCCUUUAAUACUGCUAGUCUUGAGUUCGAGAGAGGUGAGUGGAAUUCCGAGUGUAGAGGUGAAAUUCGUAGAUAUUCGGAGGAACACCAGUGGCGAAGGCGGCUCACUGGCUCGAUACUGACGCUGAGGUGCGAAAGUGUGGGGAGCAAACAGGAUUAGAUACCCUGGUAGGAUAGCG